rnacentral:rRNA from 1 species
ACGAACGCUGGCGGCGUGCUUAACACAUGCAAGUCGAACGGUGAAGCGCCUUCCUUUUUGGUGGGUGUGGAUGAGUGGCGAACGGGUGAGUAACACGUGAGUAACCUGCCCCCUUCUUCUGGAUAACCGCAUGAAAGUGUGGCUAAUACGGGAUAUUCUGGGUCUGUCGCAUGAUGGGUCUGGGAAAGAUAUUGUUUCGGUGGGGGAUGGGCUCGCGGCCUAUCAGCUUGUUGGUGGGGUGAUGGCCUACCAAGGCGGUGACGGGUAGCCGGCCUGAGAGGGUGGAUGGUCACACGGGGACUGAGACACGGCCCAGACUCCUACGGGAGGCAGCAGUGGGGAAUAUUGCACAAUGGGCGCAAGCCUGAUGCAGCGACGCCGCGUGAGGGAUGGAGGCCUUCGGGUUGUGAACCUCUUUCGCCAGUGAAGCAGGCCUGCCUCGUUUGUGGGUGGGUUGACGGUAGCUGGAUAAGAAGCGCCGGCUAACUACGUG